GACACCUUUAAUUCAGUCCUGUGAGGCUGGCAAGGUUGUGCGGAAAAGAUAAAUAUAGUAUAAGUAAACACUUCAUCGUUAUUUGUGUUGAUGUUAUCUUAUACUUUCCCCUGCACCUUGCCAAAUUUUUACGGGCAAGGUGUUUUUUAU
rfam:Oceanobacillus iheyensis HTE831 DNA, complete genome.